rnacentral:rRNA from 1 species
AUUGAACGCUGGCGGCAGGCCUAACACAUGCAAGUCGAACGAGUGGCGGACGGGUGAGUAAUGUCUGGGAAACUGCCCGAUGGAGGGGGAUCACUCCUGGAAACGGUAGCUAAUACCGCAUACCAUCGGAUGUGCCCAGAUGGGAUUAGCUAGUAGGUGGGGUAACGGCUCACGUAGGCGACGAUCCCUAGCUGGUCUGAGAGGAUGACCAGCGACACGUGAACUGAGACACGGUCCAGACUCCUACGGGAGGCAGCAGGGGGGAAUAUUGCACAAUGGGCGAAAGCCUGAUGCAGCAAUGCGGGGUGUAUGAAGAAGGCGUUAGGGUUGUAAAGUAUAUUCAGCGAGGAGGCGUUACUCGCAGAAGAAGCACCGGCUAACUACGUGCCAGCAGCCGCGGUAAUUC